UUAAAAAAAAAAAAAAAAGGAAAGGAAAGGUAAAAGAAAAUCUAAGUGCAUGUGUGAUUCAACUAGGUGUUCAAAAAUGUCAAUGGUUGGGACCUGUUUGGGACUCCCACGUUUCUGGAUAAUUGGGCCUGUAUAGACAAGAGAUGAAGGAUGACAACACGGAGAGAAAAAGAGGUCCAUCUCUUGGGGUCCAGCAGACUACGCUAAAGACCAAACAAAGCUAAGCGAUUGUGUCCUUGCAGAUCUAUUUGCCUAUUUAAAUACUGCAAAUAGAUGGGUUGGAGCCGGCUGGCGCGAGUGAAAACAACCCACCUCCUUUUCCUUUGCGGGAACCGAGAAGAGGGUUCCCCGGGCGGGCGGGCGGGUAGGCAGGCUGGCUGGCUGGCAGGC